rnacentral:rRNA from 1 species
UACAUGGGGUGCAAACGUUGCUCGGAAUCAUUGGGCGUAAAGCGCGUGAAGGCGGUUACUUAAGUCGGAUGUGAAAGCCCUCGGCUUAACUGAGGAAGUGCAUCCGAAACUGGGUAGCUAGAGUACGAAAGAGGGUCGCGGAAUUCCCGGUGUAGAGGUGAAAUUCGUAGAUAUCGGGAGGAACACCGGUGGCGAAGGCGGCGACCUGGGUCGAGACUGACGCUAAUACGCGAAAGCGUGGGGAGCAAACAGG